GACGAACGCUGGCGGCGUGCUUAACACAUGCAAGUCGAGCGGAAAGGCCCUUCGGGGUACUCGAGCGGCGAACGGGUGAGUAACACGUGAGUAACCUGCCCCAGACUUUGGGAUAACCCUCGGAAACGGGGGCUAAUACCGGAUACGACACAGCUUCGCAUGGGGUCUGUGUGGAAAGUUUUUCGGUUUGGGAUGGGCUCGCGGCCUAUCAGCUUGUUGGUGGGGUGAUGGCCUACCAAGGCGACGACGGGUAGCCGGCCUGAGAGGGCGACCGGCCACACUGGGACUGAGACACGGCCCAGACGCCUACGGGAGGCAGCAGUGGGGAAUAUUGCACAAUGGGCGGAAGCCUGAUGCAGCGACGCCGCGUGAGGGAUGACGGCCUUCGGGUUGUAAACCUCUUUCAGCAGGGACGAAGCGUAAGUGACGGUACCUGCAGAAGAAGCGCCGGCCAACUACGUG
rnacentral:rRNA from 1 species